rnacentral:rRNA from 1 species
UACGGGGGGAGCAAACGUUGUUCGGAAUCACUGGGCGUAAAGGGCGCGUAGGCGGCUCUGUAAGUGGUAUGUGAAAUCCGAUGGCUCAACCAUCGAACUGCGUUCCAUACUGCAGAGCUUGAGUACAGCAGAGGAAAGUGGAAUUCCCGGUGUAGAGGUGAAAUUCGUAGAUAUCGGGAGGAACACCAAUGGCGAAGGCAGCACUCUGGGACGUGACUGACGCUGAGGAGCGAAAGCCAGGGGAGCAAACAGG